rnacentral:rRNA from 1 species
ACGCGAAAGGGACUUCGGUCCUGAGUAAAGUGGCGCACGGGUGAGUAACGCGUGGAUAAUCUACCCGAUGGACCGGGAUAACAUUUCGAAAGGGGUGCUAAUACCGGAUAAGACCACGGAGUCUCUGGGCUCUGCGGUAAAAGGUGGGGACCUUCGGGCCUACCGUCAUAGGAUGAGUCCGCGUACCAUUAGCUAGUUGGUGGGGUAAGAGCCUACCAAGGCGACGAUGGUUAGCUGGUCUGAGAGGAUGAUCAGCCACACUGGAACUGAGACACGGUCCAGACUCCUACGGGAGGCAGCAGUGGGGAAUUUUGCGCAAUGGGGGAAACCCUGACGCAGCAACGCCGCGUGAGUGAUGAAGGCCUUCGGGUCGUAAAGCUCUGUCAGGGGGGAAGAAAUGCAUGGGAGCUAAUAUCUUCUAUGCUUGACGGUACCCUCAAAGGAAGCACCGGCUAACUCGUGC